GUGGGGAAUCUUGCGCAAUGGGCGAAAGCCUGACGCAGCCAUGCCGCGUGAAUGAUGAAGGUCUUAGGAUUGUAAAAUUCUUUCACCGGGGACGAUAAUGACGGUACCCGGAGAAGAAGCCCCGGCUAACUUCGUGCCAGCAGCCGCGGUAAUACGAAGGGGGCUAGCGUUGCUCGGAAUUACUGGGCGUAAAGGGCGCGUAGGCGGAUCGUUAAGUCAGGGGUGAAAUCCCAGAGCUCAACUCUGGAACUGCCCUUGAUACUGGCGAGCUUGAGUGUGAGAGAGGUAUGUGGAACUCCGAGUGUAGAGGUGAAAUUCGUAGAUAUUCGGAAGAACACCAGUGGCGAAGGCGACAUACUGGCUCAUUACUGACGCUGAGGCGCGAAAGCGUGGGGAGCAAACAGGAUUAGAUACCCGUGUAGUCC
rnacentral:rRNA from 1 species